UACGAAGGGGGCUAGCGUUGCUCGGAAUCACUGGGCGUAAAGGGUGCGUAGGCGGGUCUUUAAGUCAGGGGUGAAAUCCUGGAGCUCAACUCCAGAACUGCCUUUGAUACUGAAGAUCUUGAGUUCGGGAGAGGUGAGUGGAACUGCGAGUGUAGAGGUGAAAUUCGUAGAUAUUCGCAAGAACACCAGUGGCGAAGGCGACUCUCUGGUCUGUAACUGACGCUGAGGAGCGAAAGCGUGGGGAGCAAACAGG
rnacentral:rRNA from 1 species